CCUACGGGUGGCAGCAGUGGGGAAUAUUGCACAAUGGGGGAAACCCUGAUGCAGCGACGCCGCGUGAGCGAUGAAGUAUUUCGGUAUGUAAAGCUCUAUCAGCAGGGAAGAAAAUGACGGUACCUGACUAAGAAGCCCCGGCUAACUACGUGCCAGCAGCCGAGGUAAUACGUAGGGGGCAAGCGUUAUCCGGAUUUACUGGGUGUAAAGGGAACGUAGACGGCUUGGCAAGCCAGAUGUGAAAGGCUGGGGCUCAACCCCAGGACUGCAUUUGGAACUGUCAUGCUAGAGUGUCGGAGAGGCAGGCGGAAUUCCUAGUGUAGCGGUGAAAUGCGUAGAUAUUAGGAGGAACACCAGUGGCGAAGGCGGCUUACUAAACUGACACUGACAUUGAUGCUCGAAAGUGUGGGUAUCAAACAGGAUUAGAUACCCCAGUAGUC
rnacentral:rRNA from 1 species